GUUGCCUGGGAAACAAAACCUAAAAAAAAGUAUCAUUUUUUUUUUUGCAUGCAUCUUCAAAUCUUCCAAUGGCAGGAUGUGCUUCUGGGUUUGAGAGGAAGCCCUUCAGUUCUUAAGGCCCAAUGAGGGGCAUCGGAGAGCAGCAGAGAGGAUGCAGCAAUGCAAUCAGAAGACUUGUUCUUGGAACAUGCCUCUAAAAGGUUCCCACACACUCCAGGAGACAGAGGACGAGCAAACCAUCCCAACACCUAUUUCCAGACCCCACCUUGCAAGUCCUGCAUAGGUGGUCUGGAUUCAACUUCACUCUGGAGCAGAGGAUACUUGACACUUUUUUUCCUGAGGCUCUGGAGGCCUGAGCCACGGUUGAGAUGAAAUGUCCCUUCCCUUUGACCUACCUGUACCCUGUGUAAAGUACUUGUAUCUGUGUCUGGCAUAUAGUAAGUGCUCAGUUAAU